UGAAGCGUGGGGAGGACUGCA
rnacentral:misc_RNA from 1 species